AGCAUCAGCAUCAAGAGCCAGUGUGAGGAAGAUCAUCGAACCGGUGUCCUCCAGAACCUGUACUCUUACAUCGCUCCUCACAACCACCAAAGUGUUUUCUGUGUGUGCUUCGUGUUCCCCUAAGGCUAUGCCUAAGAAGGGUAGUAACGUCAGACCCAGAAGUCACAUGCCGGACAAAAAACCUAGCCAAGACCGUAUGAAACCUCAGUGUAAAGAGAAGGAACACAAAGAACAGAAGGAAGACAAACAGAAGGAAAAGGAUAAAAAGUAAAUAGAAGAGGAGGAGGUGGAUAAACAGUAUUUCAGGGUUCCAGCCUACUACUUGCUAACAGCCAACCUCGCCAAGUUCCCAGUGACUCUCCUCCGCUGCUUCUCUCAGUAACUAAGUUAACACUUCUCAAGUAACACUCCAAGCAAGUCCAGCACGGCACUUACCACAUUCAACUCCUCCAAGCUAUGUACUGUUUCAAGUGGCUUUUCUCCACAUCAUGUUUCUUGUAACUCAUUAACGACAGCAAACGUUCCGUGGUCAUUAAUGUUCCCAAAUGACUCUUCCUCUCACAUUCUCACUUAGAUUUAUGUGUCACGCAAUGUUAAAAGUAAUUCAUCACUUACAGAUUCAAGUGAAAUUACCUCUUCAGAGGUGAUGCUGCCUCACUUAACCUUCCUAACGGCGAUAAUGUAUCAUAUUUCCUCUCACGUGGAGAUAUGUGAUAUAUUUCCUCUCCUGUGGUGAUGCUGGGAUACACUCAUCUCCUGUGGUGACGCUGGGAUACACGGCUAUCCUGUGAGGUUGGGAUACAUUCCUCUCCUGUGGUGAUGCUGGGAUACACUUCUCUCCUGUGGUGAUGCUGGGAUACACGCCUCUCCUGUGUUGAUGCUGGGAUACAUACCUCUCCUGUGGUGAUGCUGGGAUACAUACCUCUCCUGUGGUGAUGCUGGGAUACAUACCUCUCCUGUGGUGAUGCUGGUAUACAUACCUCUCCUGUGGUGAUGCUGGUAUACAUACUUCUCCUGUGGUGAUGCUGGUAUACAUACCUCUCCUGUGGUGAUGCUGGUAUACAUACCUCUCCUGUGGUGAUGCUGGGACACACCAGAUCUUCCUUCAAAUGCUCCAGUGUUGCAGCUACAAUGUAACCAUCUACACAGUGCUCCUGCAAGUAACAAGAUUUUCUUUACCAAUUUAUACACUAAAUUAGUAUAAUUGCUUUCUUUUUGUAUAGACUAUAAGAAGUAGUGUUUUUAAUUAAAUAAUUUUUAAUAAAGUCUGUAAUAUUUUAUUUAAAUUAGACAACAUAACUAGGAGUUAGAGUGUGUGUCUUUAAAGACUUGUGCUUUGAUAAGUUAUUUACUUAUAGUUAGUGUAUCAGUGUCGCUAAAUCUGUUGUGCACAAGUGAGGAUUAUUGCACAAUUAUGUUUUCCCUGGCACACCUACUCUUAUUGCUCAACACUUGGUACACUAUACACAGCCAACAUGUGGAUAGCAAUUUUCUCAGGGCCAACAGUGCGCCCUCGCUGCCAGACACGAGUCGCCCAUCAAUGAGGCAGAAAUAAACAUGUCAUGUACACAAAAAUGUACAUAAUAUUUAAAGGAUAAGGUGAUCUAUUUGUUUUUCACACUUGUUCAUCCUGACACCGGUUCACUAAAAUAAAAAAAAAUGGGUUAUAUUCAUAACCAUACUUUUAAAGGGGUGGAGGGGUAAGCCAGUUGAAGGUCUCGGUCAGAUGACCAAAAGCUCCAGCUGUGGUCAUAUAACUAAGACCCGCGUCAGGAAACACUUGUCCUGUUACUUACUACCUUAUAUAUCUGGCCUCAGCCAUCUGUAAUAUGGUUUGAAAUUUUCUGUAUUGAAGAUGCUAUGAACAGAAGUUCGAGUCUCCUUCAGAAGACUCUGAUUGAUGUUGGAAAAUUGUUCAUUAAUGUGUCCCGUUGUUAAUGCGUUAUUAACGACUUGCGUUAGUUUCGUUACUUGCAUAAGUUUAUUUAGGUACAGGUACUCAUAAGUACAAUUAUCAUACGUAGUGUAAAUUAGCCAGGAUAACCCAAAAACGUCAGUGACUUACUUCCAUUGGGUCUUUAGAAAAAUAUGUUGCCCAAAUAUGGGUGGGUAUUAUAUAGAAAAUAAAGUUCCCGGAAAAUAAUGGAAGAAGAAAUUGUUAAUGAUAGCAGGUGGAUGACGUUAACCAAACUCAGGAAGAUAUAGAUGCAACUGAAUCACUUCGAUCUUUUUUUGGGGUUAUGCUGAUGAGUAAUUUACAUUAUGUAUAAUUGUGUUUAAGUGUAGCUGUGUCUACAUAAACUUAAGAGGUUUUCCCCAGGCCACAGACAUCAUCCCAGCAGUCAGUGUAUGAUGUACAGCCCCGGACAAGUUACCCAGUAUAUUGUAUAUUACGAGGAUACGUAAUCAGUUUUACAUUACCAUUAUCAACUUGCUGCAGUCAUGACCUUUUCAUCAUAUUACAAGCCGAAUAAAACUAUUUUAAGUAUUUUCUUCACACUCCACAAACCAUAAUUCAUUCCGUGACAUCGGCAGCAAAUUUAGACUGUAGGGGAAAUAUCCCGUGUUUAUGCCAAGAAAAAUGUAUCAAUUUAAGUGUUAAACUCCGAGAAAGAUGUUUGGGUUUUAACCAGACAAGCACCUGUGAGGAAUGUGUCACCUAUCCCAGAGAAGUGGUCCCUAAACCUAGGUGCAAACUACUUAAAUACUAUGUUAAGACCCAGCACUGAAUAAAGACAGUUACUCACCACACACACACACAAGCAUACCCACACACACACACACACACUCACGCACACCCAGACACAUAUAUAGACACACACUACCAUACAUAUAUAAGAAGGAGAAUUACCCAGAGUUAAAAAAAAAAAAACUUACCCAUAUUGACGUCGGGUAGAAAAGGAGGUCAGCACACCAGAAAUGGUACACAAGUACACUUAACAUUGCAAGUACACGAGUUUACACUCAUCUAUUUAAAACCUUAACUACCAUCUGUCUUGUACAAGCUCUCUCUCCCUUACCCAUAAGUUUUUACAGUAGUACAGAAUUUAUUACAUUACAGGAGUCCUCCUAAUUUCUUAGUCUAGUUAUUAUAUCAGUCACGGUUGAUACAAUACUCUUAGGAAGAUGCUGGACUGUGUUAAUGAUGAAGUUACUUUUAUAAAGGCUUAUAUAACUAUAGGAGUUACAUUAUAUUCACUUGGAAGCGUUAAAUCCACAGGGGUAACCGAGCUCCUUUGGAAGAGGAGGCAAGCAUGUCUGACACAAGAGUCCUUCAGCAUCCACGUCUUCUCUCCCCUUCCUUUGAAGGAAGAAGAGUAUUGUAUAAACUGUUUUGACUUGAUUGUAUAAACGUUUGUGUGUAUAAUUGUGCGUAAGCUGGUCACAUUAACAUUAAUUCGUAACCAGCCCAAAUUUAUUUUGGCUCGACUACAAUAAAUCUUGCAUAACUUUGAGCUCAUUCUUACAGUGUGCGGCAGUGAGUGAGAGCUCUUGAUGUCUAUGUGAGCUCUGCCCAACAUCUCAUGAGCUCUCACACACAUUGUUGCACACUGUUGCCUUACCAAAUAGUCGAAAUGUUAGUGUCACUUGUUUAUUUUUAAUAUUAACAUAGAUGUUAUAGCUGUUGAGGAUGUGUGAUAAGAUUAUACCACCUUUAAUGUGUUAAUUACAAACGCCUAAUUAAUAUUAACAGAAUUACAUUCACGGAUAGAGCUAACCCCGUAAGGGUCAUUCAGGGCUGCAAUCACCUAAAUUAACUCUAAAUUAUUUUGAUGUCCGUCAAAAAAAAAAAAACAGGGAGUGUUCGAAAAUUAAUUAAUUUUU